AUAAAUAAUUAAAUAGGCCUAAAGUAGUACUAGAUAUUAGUUAAAUCACUAGUAUUGUGUAGGGUUAUUUUUAUUAAAAAAACAGAUCACAUCUUAUACAUUAAGGCGGGCUCAAUAAAAUAAAAAUAAUUUAUUUAGGACCUAGGCCUAUCUUUUGGAGAUCUAAAAUUCUAAAUGAAAAAUAAAUUAUUAAUUAGACCAACAAUAGGCAUAGUUCAUCCAAAAAAAAGGGAAGAUCUGAUUUUUACCAGUAAUAAGACUACAGCAUACUAAAUGACACAAGAUGUUCUUUCUCUAUUACCUCUUACAUUUGACAUAAAAGUAGGAAAAGGUUUAACAGUCUAUGCCUACAACAUAGAUCUCCAGGACUAAAAGUACACAAAAUGGCAAUCAGUAUAUCACAAGUGUAAUAACACAUGCAUCUAAUCUGCUUCAGUGGCGAGAACUGGGUGAAUCCUCUCAAACAUUAAUCAGGAACUAGGCAUACCUAAUGAGCGUCAAGCUGAUACAGUAGAUGUACAGAAGAGUUUAUACGCAAGGUAAAUAUUGAUAAAUUUU